GCUCCGGUGGCGUAAUUGGUAAACGCAGCACUCUUAUAAGGUGAAGAUAGUCGGUUCAAACCCGACUCGGAGUACCA
rnacentral:tRNA from 1 species